rnacentral:pre_miRNA from 1 species
GGAGAAAUUAUCCUUGGUGUGUUCGCUUUAUUCGUGAUGAAUCAUACAAGGACAAUUUCUUUUU